rnacentral:rRNA from 1 species
UACGGGGGGGGGCAAGCGUUGUUCGGAAUUACUGGGCGUAAAGGGCUCGUAGGCGGCCAACUAAGUCAGACGUGAAAUCCCUCGGCUUAACCGGGGAACUGCGUCUGAUACUGGAUGGCUUGAGUGUGGGAGAGGGAUGCGGAAUUCCAGGUGUAGCGGUGAAAUGCGUAGAUAUCUGGAGGAACACCGGUGGCGAAGGCGGCAUCCUGGACCACGACUGACGCUGAGGAGCGAAAGCCAGGGGAGCAAAGCGGG